rnacentral:miRNA from 1 species
CAACAGAAAUUUAUUUUCUCACAGUUCUGGAGGCUGGAAGUCCAAGAUCAUGGUGUUGGCAGGGUUGGUUUCUCCUGAGGCCUCUCUGUUUGGUUUGUAAAUGCCUACUUCUUGCUGUGUCCUCACAUGGUCUUUU